GCGGAAGCGUUACGAAGGAAGUUUUCGGACUUUAUUGGUAACGGUUUAGCGGCGGACGGGUGAGUAACACGUGGGCAACCUGCCUUAUACUGGGGGAUAACAGUUAGAAAUGACUGCUAAUACCGCAUAAGCGCCCAUCCCCGCAUGGGGAAGAGCGAAAAACUCCGGUGGUAUAAGAUGGGCCCGCGCCUGAUUAGGUAGUUGGUGGGGUAACGGCCUACCAAGCCGACGAUCAGUAGCCGACCUGAGAGGGUGGCCGGCCACAUUGGGACUGAGACACGGCCCAAACUCCUACGGGAGGCAGCAGUGGGGAAUAUUGCACAAUGGGGGAAACCCUGAUGCAGCGACGCCGCGUGAGUGAAGAAGUAUUUCGGUAUGUAAAGCUCUAUCAGCAGGGAAGAAAAAAGACGGUACCUGACUAAGAAGCCCCGGCUAACUACGUGCCAGCAGCCGCGGUAAUACGUAGGGGGCAAGCGUUAUCCGGAUUUACUGGGUGUAAAGGGAGCGUAGACGGUGCGUCAAGUCUGAAGUGAAAGCCCGGGGCUUAACCCCGGGACUGCUUUGGAAACUGUCGCGCUAGAGUGCUGGAGAGGUAAGUGGAAUUCCUAGUGUAGCGGUGAAAUGCGUAGAUAUUAGGAGGAACACCCGUGGGGGAAGGUGGCUUUACGGGACAGUAAACUGACGUUGAGGCUCGAAAGCGUGGGGAGCAAACAGGAUUAGAUACUCUGGUAGUCCACGCCGUAAACGAUGAAUGCUAGGUGUUGGUGGGCAAAGCCCAUCGGUGCCGCCGCAAACGCAAUAAGCAUUCCACCUGGGGAGUACGUUCGCAAGAAUGAAACUCAAAGGAAUUGACGGGGACCCGCACAAGCGGUGGAGCAUGUGGUUUAAUUAAAAGCAACGCGAAGAACCUUACCAAGUCUUGACAUCCCUUUGCAUGCAGGGUAAUGCCUGCAGUCCUUCGGGACAAAGGAGACAGGUGGUGCAUGGUUGUCGUCAGCCCGUGUCGUGAGAUGUUGGGUUAAGUCCCGCAACGAGCGCAACCCUUAUCCUUAGUAGCCAGCAGGUAAAGCUGGGCACUCUGGGGAGACUGCCAGGGAUAACCUGGAGGAAGGUGGGGAUGACGUCAAAUCAUCAUGCCCCUUAUGAUUUGGGCUACACACGUGCUACAAUGGAAGAAACAAAGGGAGGCGAAGGGGCAACCUGGAGCAAACCC
rnacentral:rRNA from 1 species